rnacentral:rRNA from 1 species
GGGCCGCACGCGCGCUACACUGACGGAGCCAGCGAGUAAUUCAACCUUGGCCGAGAGGUCUGGGUAAUCUUGUGAAACUCCGUCGUGCUGGGGAUAGAGCAUUGCAAUUAUUGCUCUUCAACGAGGAAUUCCUAGUAAGCGCAAGUCAUCAGCUUGCGUUGAUUACGUCCC